GAACAUUAAUAGCAUUAACAUUAUGCUGCGGUUAAAAAGCUGGAUGUGACAACAAUGCUGCAUGACAAGAUGAGGUUAGAAAAAUUCUGAUUAAUGAAGAAAUGCAAAAUCUUUUCACUCUGCUUGAUUAAAAAUAUUUUGAUAUAUAACCAUUAGAUGCAGCUGAGCAAACAAUAGCAAAAAUGUUAGUUACUAAUUAUAUUAAAUGCAAAACCUAAAAU